rnacentral:rRNA from 1 species
AUUGAACGCUGGCGGCAGGCCUAACACAUGCAAGUCGAGCGGAGCGCCGAACGGGUGAGUAAUGCCUAGGAAUCUGCCUGGUAGUGGGGGAUAACGUCCAGAAACGGGCGCUAAUACCGCAUCCUCUCAAAUUAGCCUAGGUGGGCUUAGCUCGUUGGUGGAGUAAGGGCAUCACAAGGCGACGAUCCGUAACUGGUCUGAGAGGGUGAUCAGUCAAAAUGGAACUGAGACACGGUCCAGACUCCGACGGGAGGCAGCAGUGGGGAAUAUUGGGCAAUGGGCGAAAGCCGUAUCCAGCCAUGCCGCGUGUGGGAAGAAGGUCUUCGGGUUGUAAAGCACGUUCAGCGGGGAGGCGUUACCCGCAGAAGAAGCACCGGCUAACUCCGUGCCAGCAGCCGCGGUAAUUC